rnacentral:rRNA from 1 species
CCCUUAGAUGUUCUGGGCCGCACGCGCGCUACACUGACGAAGUCAGCGAGCAUGUCCUACGCCGACAGGUGCGGGGAAUCUUGUCAAACUUCGUCGUGAUGGGGAUUGAUUAUUGAAAUUCUUGAUCAUCAACGAGGAAUUCCUAGUAAGCGCAAGUCAGCAGCUUGCGUUGAUUACGUCCCUGCCCUUUGUACACACCGCCCGUCGCUACUGCCAACUGAGAUGGGUCCUGAAUUGUUAGGAACGCCCGUCAAGGGGCCUACCCGGUCCCUAGUGCGGUGACGAGAAUAACUGUAAAUGGCAUAUCUUGUAGGGAGUAAAAGUCGUAACA